rnacentral:rRNA from 1 species
UACGUAGGGUGCAAGCGUUGUCCGGAAUUAUUGGGCGUAAAGGGCUCGUAGGCGGUUUGUCGCGUCGGGAGUGAAAUCCACUGGCUUAACUGGUGGCUUGCUUUCGAUACGGGCAGACUGGAGGUAUGCAGGGGAGAACGGAAUUCCUGGUGUAGCGGUGAAAUGCGCAGAUAUCAGGAGGAACACCGGUGGCGAAGGCGGGUCCCUGGGCCGGAACUGACGCUGAGGAGCGAAAGCGUGGGGAGCGAACAGG